UACGAGUUUGAUCAUGGCUCAGGAUGAACGCUAGCGGCAGGCUUAAUACAUGCAAGUCAAGGGGGUAGCAAUACAACCGGCGCACGGGUGAGUAACGCGUACACAACAUACCAUAUACUGGGGUAUAGCUUCGGGAAACUGGAGAUAAUCCCCCAUAACAUUGCGAGAGGGCAUCUGAUUGCAAUUAAAGUUUCGACGGUAUAUGAUUGGUGUGCGUUUGAUUAGCUUGUUGGUAGGGUAACGGCCUACCAAGGCGACGAUCAAUAGCUGGCGUGAGAGCGCGACCAGCCACACUGGAACUGAGACACGGUCCAGACUCCUACGGGAGGCAGCAGUAGGGAAUAUUGGACAAUGGGCGAAAGCCUGAUCCAGCCAUGCCGCGUGAUAGAUGAAGGCCCUCUGGGUUGUAAAUAUCUUUUAUCUGGGAAGAAACUCCUCUAUUCUUAGAGGCCUGACGGUACCAGAGGAAUAAGCACCGGCUAACUCCGUG
rnacentral:rRNA from 1 species